UACAGGGGGUGCAAACGUUGCUCGGAAUCAUUGGGCGUAAAGCGCACGUAGGCGGUUUGUUAUGUCGGAUGUGAAAGCCCUUGGCUCAACUGAGGAAGUGCAUCCGAAACUGGCAAGCUAGAGUACUAAAGAGGGUCGCGGAAUUCCCGGUGUAGAGGUGAAAUUCGUAGAUAUCUGGAGGAACACCGGUGGCGAAGGCGGCAUCCUGGACCGGCAUUGACGCUGAGGCGCGAAAGCCAGGGGAGCAAACGGG
rnacentral:rRNA from 1 species